UCUUCCUUGGUUGUUUCACCACACUCCUCCUUUCCCAAUUCUACUGCCAUUGUCAAGACACCAUCUCCAGCAAACAAGAAAUUUCUAGUUCUUAUAUUCACAAUCAACCAUCAAAAUCGGCUGAAAGUGUAUCUUCUUUAGAGAAGGAAAUGAAUUUCUAUGACAAAUAGGCUUGGCUCAUUUGUAUCUACUUUAUGUCACCAUCAUACCAUGGAUGCCAAAUUUGAUGAUCAUGCCCAGCUGUUCAUGUUAACAGUGGUUGACACUGCAAUUCGGUAAAAAGAUAGUUAUACAUAGGCUCAAACUCUGAUAUUAAAUUGUAAACACCUGCUACGACAGGCAUAUGCACAGUGGAACCUGUUGUAUCAGACAGGGAAUUGAAGAAGGUUGUGUCCAGAGAAAUUACUUACUGCCAGGAUUUUGCCCAAGGAAAGUUUGAUGACGAAGAGGCCAAUGUUGACUGAUGGAGAUGGCUAUUGGAACCAGGGGAGAGGACAAAGACCUUGAUCUUAGAACGAUUUCACCUGAUGACUUUGCCGAGCCCGAAUGGUCAACCUUCUAAGUGGUAUUCCUCAUCCAUGGGAGAACUUGAAAUUCUAUCAAAUGCUAGUAUUAGAUUAGUGAUCAGCAGAAGAACCUUUAGAGGUAGAAGAAAUUGAUGCAUAUGCAGAACCAGUUGUAGCUGCUUAGUAUUUUAUCUUCGUUGGUCUUUCAGUCGUAAGCUUGAGGAUUCAUAGGGCGACUUCACCUGAUGACUUUGUCGAGCCCAAACGUCAACCUUCUAAGGAACUGAAGAAGGUUAUGUACAGAGUAACUACCUACUGCAAUGUUGACUGGUGGAGGUGGCUAUUGGAACCAGGGGAGAUGAAAGGCCUUGAUGUUAAGACAACUUCACCUGAUGACUUUGACGAUCCAACCUUAUAUAAGUAACCGUAGAUGGAGUCGAUAUAACCGGACGUAUUACAUCAACAAUCCCUCCACAAAACACAGUAAAGUAAUUCCAAAACCUCAUUCUGCAAGAAAUGGUUUGUUUGUUGUGUGUAGUAUGAGCUUAGCUUUCAACCCAUUCAAAUCACCCCAUUACAAAGUUGUCUGUGUUUGCGGAAAUAGUUCAAACCAAUACCAAAUUCAUAUUUUGGAUUCAAAGACAGACUCUUGGAAGAUAUCUGCUGGUGAUCCCCUCACCGCAUCUCAUGAUACAUUUUCCAGGCCGGGUGUGUUUUGGAAUGGCUCGUUGCAUUGGAUUAGCGCAAGCGAGUUUAGCAGUUGGAUUAUCAAGAGUAACUCUUUUGUUUAUUUCGAUAUC